GUAGUGUUAAUUGUUGUGGGGUGAGAGUAAUAUUGAUAUCACUGUUUUUCUAUAUUCGGGAAAGCUAUUGCCAUGGGCAUUCAAAGCCUCUUGAACACUCCACAGCUCAUACAACUAAGGAACAUUAAUCAUUUUUGUACUUCUCAUCUGUCAUUCGGAUUUACUUGGAGGUUAGAUUGCAGAAACUGAGAAUGCAAGAAUAGUCACGUAAAUUGAGGCUUUAUUUUCAUUUUUAUGAUAAUUGUGGCUCACUGCUGCUGCCUUGGCAUAUGAUCAUCAUAUUCAUAUCUUCUUGAAUCUUGAAGCAAGGUCAAUGUGCCUGGGAGCAUAAACUUUACACAAGGAUCACAUUUUAAGCUUAAUAUUUUGACCUUGUAAUUAUGCACUUCUCACUCAAACAUCUAAUACACUCU
rnacentral:lncRNA from 1 species